rnacentral:rRNA from 1 species
UAGUCCACGCCGUAAACGAUGCUCACUCGUUGUUUGCAAUAUAUCGUAAGCGACUGAGGGAAACCAUUAAGUGAGCCACCUGGGGAGUACGUUGGCAACAAUGAAACUCAAAGGAAUUGACGGGGGCCCGCACAAGCGGAGGAACAUGUGGUUUAAUUCGAUGAUACGCGAGGAACCUUACCUGGGCUUAAAUGUAGAGUGCAUUAGAUGGAAACAUUUAUUUUCUUCGGAACUCUUUACAGGGUGCUGCAUGGUUGUCGUCAGCUCGUGCCGUGAGGUGUCGGGUUAAGUCCCAUAACGAGCGCAACCCCUAUCGUUAGUUGCCAUCAGGUCAUGCUGGGGACUCUAACGNGACUGCCGGUGUAAACCGCGAGGAAGGUGGGGAUGACGUCAAAUCAGCACGGCCCUUAUGGGGCUGGGGCUACACACGUGCUACAAUGGGCGGUGACACGGGGAAGCGAAGGGGCACCGUGGAGCCAAUCCCCAAAAGCCGUCUCAGUUCGGGAUUGGCACUCUGC